AUUGAACGCUAGCGGGAUGCUUUACACAUGCAAGUCGAACGGCAGCGCGGACUUCGGUCUGGCGGCGAGUGGCGAACGGGUGAGUAAUGAAUCGGAACGUGCCCAGUAGCGGGGGAUAACUACGCGAAAGCGUAGCUAAUACCGCAUACGCCCUACGGGGGAAAGCAGGGGAUCGUAAGACCUUGCACUAUUGGAGCGGCCGAUAUCGGAUUAGCUAGUUGGUGAGGUAACGGCUCACCAAGGCGACGAUCCGUAGCUGGUUUGAGAGGACGACCAGCCACACUGGGACUGAGACACGGCCCAGACUCCUACGGGAGGCAGCAGUGGGGAAUUUUGGACAAUGGGGGCAACCCUGAUCCAGCCAUCCCGCGUGUGCGAUGAAGGCCUUCGGGUUGUAAAGCACUUUUGGCAGGAAAGAAACGUCGCGGGCUAAUACCCCGUGGAACUGACGGUACCUGCAGAAUAAGCACCGGCUAACUACGUG
rnacentral:rRNA from 1 species